UACGUAGGGUGCGAGCGUUAAUCGGAAUUACUGGGCGUAAAGCGUGCGCAGGCGGUUGGUUAAGUCUGAUGUGAAAGCCCCGGGCUCAACCUGGGAAUGGCAUUGGAAACUGGCUGGCUAGAGUGUGGCAGAGGGGGGUGGAAUUCCGCGUGUAGCAGUGAAAUGCGCAGAUAUCAGGAGGAACACCGGUGGCGAAGGCGGGUCUCUGGGCCGAUACUGACGCUGAGGAGCGAAAGCGUGGGGAGUGAACAGG
rnacentral:rRNA from 1 species